GAUGAACGCUAGCUACAGGCUUAACACAUGCAAGUCGCGGGGCAGCAUGGGGGUUGCUUGCAAUCCCCGAUGGCGACCGGCGCACGGGUGAGUAACGCGUAUCCAACCUGCCCUUCACCACGGGAUAACCCGGCGAAAGUCGGACUAAUACCGUAUGUUGUCCAUUGACGGCAUCCGAUUUGGACGAAAGGUUUGGCGGUGAAGGAUGGGGAUGCGUCCGAUUAGCUGGACGGCGGGGUGACGGCCCACCGUGGCGACGAUCGGUAGGGGUUCUGAGAGGAAGGUCCCCCACACUGGAACUGAGACACGGUCCAGACGCCUACGGGAGGCAGCAGUGAGGAAUAUUGGUCAAUGGGCGUAAGCCUGAACCAGCCAAGUAGCGUGCAGGAGGACGGCCCUAUGGGUUGUAAACUGCUUUUAUGCGGGGAUAAAGUGGCCCACGUGUGGGUUUUUGCAGGUACCGCAUGAAUAAGGACCGGCUAAUUCCGUG
rnacentral:rRNA from 1 species